rnacentral:rRNA from 1 species
GAUUAACGCUGGCGGCGUGCAUAACACAUGCAAGUUGAACGAUGAAACUUAGUAGAUUUCUUCGGAAAGACACUAAGGGGAGUAGUGGUGAACGGGUGAGUAACGCGUGUGUAACGUGCCUUACACAAGGGGAUAGCAUUUGGAAACGACGAAUAAUCUUCUAUAAAAACAUAAAAGCACAUGAUAGACUGGUCAAAGUGACAGAGCUGUACGAUGGACUUGUGUCUGAUUAGCUAGUUGGUGAGCUAACAGCUCACCAAGGCAACGAUCAGUAGCCGGCUUGAGAGAGUGUACGACCACAUAGGGACUGAGGCACGACCCAGUCUCCGACGAUAGACGACAGUGGGGAAGUGUGCACAAUGGGGAGAAACCAGAUGCAUCGACGCCUCGUGAUUUAUAAGUCCAGCGGAUUGUAAAAAACUUUUGUAUAGGAAGAAAAUGACAGUACUAUACGAGUAAGGGCCGGCUAAUUACGUG